CUACGGGCGGCUGCAGUGGGGAAUAUUGGACAAUGGGCGAAAGCCUGAUCCAGCCAUGCCGCGUGUGUGAAGAAGGCCUUCGGGUUGUAAAGCACUUUCAGUGGGGAAGAAAGCCUUGGGGCUAAUACCCUCGAGGAAGGACAUCACCCACAGAAGAAGCACCGGCUAACUCCGUGCCAGCAGCCGCGGUAAUACGGAGGGUGCGAGCGUUAAUCGGAAUUACUGGGCGUAAAGCGCGCGUAGGCGGUCUGAUAAGCCGGUUGUGAAAGCCCCGGGCUCAACCUGGGAACGGCGUCCGGAACUGUCAGGCUAGAGUGCAGGAGAGGAAGGUAGAAUUCCCGGUGUAGCGGUGAAAUGCGUAGAGAUCGGGAGGAAUACCAGUGGCGAAGGCGGCCUUCUGGACUGACACUGACGCUGAGGUGCGAAAGCGUGGGUAGCAAACAGGAUUAGAUACCCGAGUAGUC
rnacentral:rRNA from 1 species